rnacentral:rRNA from 1 species
UUGGSUUUACCCGAAGACGGUGCGCUAACCCGCAAGGGAGGCAGCCGGCCACGGUARGSUCAGCGACUGGGGUGAAGUCGUAACAAGGUAGCCGUAGGUGAACCUGCAGAAGGAUCA